ensembl:lncRNA
CUCGCAUCAGAUGCUGCGCCACGCUGGUGGUGGUGGUAAAUACAAGAAGACCGUAGAAAAGAUCAUGCUUAAAGACCAGAGGAUUCCUCAGCACACAGAAGAGCAUUCCAACACAUCAGCGGCGUUGACCAGCUGACCAGCUUACGAGCUCAAGAACAGCAACAUGACUCACGUCCGGAGAUUCCAGGGGAUUCCGAUGUCCACGGUACAUUAAGGGAAGAAAAACACCAACCUUCGUAUUAUGCUAACUCAUCUUCUCAAAGAUGCUAUGGAUGUCGAGUCUGGGUUUGAAUCUGUUCAAUGGUUCAAGUGUUCAGCUGAGGAACGAGACAGGAGAACGAAGAGGUUUGGAGUCCCACUCUUCAACCAGAUAUGAGCUUGUCUACCGUCAGCCUUUACAUGUAUCAUCCAAAGCCUGAUUUGUGUGACACCACAGUGAGAGUCUCUGUCCAUUCCCAGACAAUGUCCAAGAUCCCAGCUGCACUCAUAAUUCUGUGUUUGUUAUUGACUUAUGAGUUGAACUUCAGAGAAACCAUCGAAAAACCAAGAGGCUUUACUCCACUAGCGGUUACAGUGAGGAUUUGUAAAACGAAAAACACGUUUUAUAUUAUCAUAAGAAUAUUAUAUCAUGUGUCACUUAACCCUGUAUCUGUGUCUUCUGUUACUUACUUGUUACUAUGUCUUCAACAAGUCAAUGAGGGGAAUCUGUAAGGAGGAAGACUAUGCCUUCCUUGGUGGGGUGAAAAUGCCAGAUGAAGAUGAGGACUAUGAGGUGACAAACACACAUACACACAGACACACACACAAACGCACAGACACAGACACAGAGACACAGAUAUACAUAGACAUUGACAUACACAAACACGCACGCACGCACACGCGCACACACACACACACAUGCACACACACACAAACACCCGAUACAAUCUCACAAGACCACCACUUCAAAGAAAUAAAGGACAGGGUACUAAAUCUGAACAAAUGUGGGUUAAUAUGUGAUGACAGUUGCUUUAUUUCUGCCUGUUUCACGCCUCAGUAUUAUUAGUACUAAAGAAAGCUCCUCUUUCAGUAUCCAAGCGGUUCAAAGAAUCCUGUGUGUGACUCUGAAAGCUGGAGGAGCAGAAGGGAAGAGAGGGUGAGCCUUAUAUUUACACUAUUACAGACCGUUGCUACGGACACAGCUCUCAAACUGUAAAAGAACGCACGCCUUUUUUUACGGAAGCAUGACAAUUACUUUUCUCAUCAAUAUAUCAAUCACUUAUUUCAAAUUAUUGAUUUCUUCAGUAUUUAGCCUGUUAUAAGUUGAAACGUGUACAAUUCCCCUAACUUAACAUUCAUGAGCAACAAAUUCUCAUUGACAAUGGCGGAAUUAGUUUUUCAAAACUUGCCAAAUAAAGGUUAAACAAAGAACUGGUUCUUCAGGAAUUACCUGGUUAAAUAACGUUCUAAGAAAGACAUUGAUCGUCAUGAAUAACCUGGAAAGAAAGACGUUGUUCUUCAGGAAUUGCCAAAAUAAAGGUUAAACAAAGAAUUUGUUCUUCAGCAAUUGCCUUGAUAAAUAAAGGUUACAUAUAAAAUAACAGUGAUAAAAGUGAUUGAUCACUUGAGGAUUUAUACUUUUUGUUGAGUCCUUCUGGAACGUUGCAUGCUGGGUAAUUUCAGGUUCAGCGAAGGAUGGAGAGAGAGCAGAAAGAGAGGGAGAGACUACGAGAACUGGAGGAGAGCAAGAUGGAGAAGGAGCGACGGUGGCGUCGUCACGUCGCAGAGCUUUCCUCUAGCCAGGAGGCCGACGUCAGAGAGAGACUGAGCAGACUGAGGAGCUUCAGGGUGAGGACACACAAACGCACACACACACACACACACACACACACACACACACACACACACACACACACACAGGCAUGCACAAACGCACGUACAUGCACAUUUUUUUCACAAGAAACAGAUGAUUAAUUCUACAGUAACCGCAGCCUCAUUCAGUUUCAAAGCUGCAGAUUAGCCCCGCCCUCUCCCUCUCUCUCUCGCCCUCACUCGCCCUCGCUCACCCUGGAUCGCCCUCGAUCGCCCCCUCUCCUUUCAGAGUGCCAGGCAGGUGGUGGGUUUGUUUCUCAGCCUUUUGUAAUUCUAAACCCUGGUGGGUGUGUGUGUGUGUGUGUGUGUGUGUGUGUGUGUGUGUCCCUCAAGAUAAUAAAGACCAAGUGAUGAAGGUAAUCAGACAUGACAAUGUGUCCACAGACCCUACACAGUCCAACAUGUGUGUUCGUUCCCUGGGGAGACCAGGAAACCCCUGAAACAUACAAUACUCAAAUGUGUUUGGACACAUGUUUUACAUAGAUUUGCGUGGGUCGGGAUAUAGGGUGUGAGUCCCUUAGUGUAAUGGAGGCCCACCUCUUUCUCUCUCUCUGCCCCAUUCUCUCUUGCGCUAUUGCUCUCUCUCUCGCCCUCUCUGUCUCUCUCUCGCUCUCUCUCUCUCGGCCUGAGGGGACGUUAAGCUUUUCAAUGCAUGUCAACUUUUGUCUGAUCUGUUCUUUUAUUUUUAGUAUGCCCCCCUUUCUCCCCCUUCCUCUCCCCUUUCUACUCUUUUUUUCCCCGUUCUACCUCUUCUCUAUCUCGCUCUUUCUUCUUCACCUCCUUCGACCCCUUUUCUACCUAUUGUCUACCCCUCUUCACCUCUUAUCGAACUUAAUCUCCCUCCCCGUUUGCAUGUUUGCCUGUCUCCCACUCCCUCUCCCCCUCUCUCUCUCUCUCCUUUUAUCUGUCCGACUGUAUCCAUCUCCCUCUCUCUCUCCAUCUCCAUCUCUCUCUCUCUCUCUCUCUCUCUCUCUCUCUCUC